CGCGCAGGCGGCCAGGUCAGUCGAAUGUGAAAGCCCCCGGCUCAACUGGGGAUGGUCGUUCGAUACUGCCUGGCUCGAAGAUAGGAGAGGGAAGUGGAAUUUCAGGUGUAGUGGUGAAAUGCGUAGAUAUCUGAAGGAACACCAGUGGCGAAGGCGACUUUCUGGCCUAUUCUUGACGCUGAGGCGCGAAAGCUAGGGGAGCGAACG
rnacentral:rRNA from 1 species